rnacentral:rRNA from 1 species
UACAGAGGUCCCAAGCGUUGUUCGGAUUCACUGGGCGUAAAGGGUGCGUAGGUGGCGAGGUAAGUCGGAUGUGAAAGCUCGGAGCUCAACUCCGAAAUGGCAUUGGAAACUACCUUGCUCGAGGGUUGGAAGGGGGACUGGAAUGCUUGGUGUAGCAGUGAAAUGCGUAGAUAUCAGGAGGAACACCGGUGGCGAAGGCGGUUCUCUGGGCAUUACCUGACGCUGAGGAGCGAAAGUGUGGGGAGCGAACAGG